rnacentral:rRNA from 1 species
CAGCCGCCGCGGUAAUACGUAGGGGGCGAGCGUUACCCGGAUUCACUGGGCGUAAAGGGGGUGUAGGCGGCUCGGUAAGUCGGGUGUGAAAUCCCACGGCUCAACCGUGGAAUUGCGCCCGAAACUGCCGAGCUUGGGGCCGGUAGAGGGAGACGGAACUGCCGGUGUAGGGGUGAAAUCCGUAGAUAUCGGCAGGAACGCCGGUGGGGAAGCCGGUCUCCUGGGCCGCGCCCGACGCUGAGGCCCGAAAGCUAGGGGAGCAAACCGGAUUAGAUACCCGGGUAGUCCUAGCCGUAAACGAUGCCCACUAGGUGUGGGGGAGUAUUUCCUCCGUGCUGGAGCUAACGCGUUAAGUGGGCCGCCUGGGGAGUACGCCCGCAAGGGUGAAACUUAAAGGAAUUGGCGGG